rnacentral:rRNA from 1 species
GAGUUACACUCCCAACCCCAAUGUGAACGUUACCAAUCUGUUGCCUCGGCGGGAUUCUCUGCCCCGGGCGCGUCGCAGCCCCGGAUCCCAUGGCGCCCGCCGGAGGACCAACUCAAACUCUUUUUUCUCUCCGUCGCGGCUUCCGUCGCGGCUCUGUUUUACCUUUGCUCUGAGCCUUUCUCGGCGACCCUAGCGGGCGUCUCGAAAAUGAAUCAAAACUUUCAACAACGGAUCUCUUGGUUCUGGCAUCGAUGAAGAACGCAGCGAAAUGCGAUAAGUAAUGUGAAUUGCAGAAUUCAGUGAAUCAUCGAAUCUUUGAACGCACAUUGCGCCCGCCAGUAUUCUGGCGGGCAUGCCUGUCCGAGCGUCAUUUCAACCCUCGAACCCCUCCGGGGGGUCGGCGUUGGGGAUCGGCCCCUCACCGGGCCGCCCCCGAAAUACAGUGGCGGUCUCGCCGCAGCCUCUCCUGCGCAGUAGUUUGCACACUCGCACCGGGAGCGCGGCGCGGCCACAGCCGUAAAACACCCCAAACUCUGAAAUGUUGACCUCGGAUCAGGUAGGAAUACCCGCUGAACUUAA